rnacentral:rRNA from 1 species
GAUUAUGGCUCAGGAUGAACGCUAGCGGCAGGCUUAACACAUGCAAGUCGAGGGGCAGCGGGAUGUAGCAAUACAUUGCCGGCGACCGGCGGAUGGGUGCGUAACGCGUAUGCAACCUACCUUAUACAGGGGAAUAACCUUUCGAAAGGGAGACUAACACCCCAUAGUAUUGAUUUAAGGCAUCUUAGAUUAAUUAAAUAUUUAUAGGUAUAAGAUGGGCAUGCGUAUGAUUAGCUAGUUGGUAAGGUAACGGCUUACCAAGGCGACGAUCAUUAGGGGUUCUGAGAGGAAGGUCCCCCACACUGGUACUGAGACACGGACCAGACUCCUACGGGAGGCAGCAGUGAGGAAUAUUGGUCAAUGGGCGCAAGCCUGAACCAGCCAUGCCGCGUGCAAGGAAGACGGCCUUAUGGGUUGUAAACUGCUUUUACAUAAGACUAACCGUAUAUUUGCGAAUAUACCUGAAUGUAUUAUGAGAAUAAGGAUCGGCUAACUCCGUGCCAGCAGCAGC